GUGACUGUUAGCUGUCAAAGGAGUCUUCAUCCUGAGCUUGCAUGAGCUCGCCUUCACGGUUCCUUACUGACUCACAUGAGCUGGAUCCAGCCAAAGAUGGUAUGACUGACGGCUUCCCACUCUGCAUUUAAAGUCCACCGUAUUCUUUAAUCUCUCUGGAAAGCAUCGGCGAUUCGCUGGGAACACUCUGUACACACGCAUUUGUCUGAAGAAAGGAAUGUUUUUGGCUGAGUCAUAAAGGUCACCGUACACAAACAUGUGGGUAGGCCUAAGGGAGAUAAGUGUUUGAAGGCCUGAACACUUGGCUGGUAAACCCAAAGUGCAGUUUUCACUUUCCUCUUGAUCAGCGCAGAUGAGUGAAUCCAGUCAUCGGGGCGUCAUAUGGU